rnacentral:tRNA from 1 species
CAAAGUAGAGCUUGAAAAGUUAAGCAUUUCAUUUACACUGAAAGGUUGUCGUGCAAUUCGAUAUAUUUUGA